CCCCAUUAUUUCCCCCCGUUAUUGCCCCCCCAUUAAUGCCCCCAUUAUUACCCCCCGUUAUUGCCCCCCAUUAUUGCCCCCCUCCCCAUUAUUGCCCCCCCUUUAAUGCCCCCCCAUUAUUGCCCCCUCCCCAUUAUUGCCCCCCCGUUAUUGCCCCCCCAUUAAUGCCCCCCUUUAUUGCCCCCCUCCCCAUUAUUGCCCCCCCAUUAUCGCCCCCUCCCCAUUAUUGCCCCCCCGUUAUUGCCCCCCCCAUUAAUGCCCCCCAUUAUUACCCCCCGUUAUUGCCCCCCCUCAUUAAUGCCCCCCCCCCCCCCAGGCCGGAAGUUGGGCCGCCGUCUGAUGGAGGAGGCAGCCAAGGCCGCCUGGGCUCGGGGCUGCCGGGAGCUGCGGAUGCACGUGGGGGGCCCGGGGGGGCUCUUGGGGGGCGUUGGAGGCUUUGGGGGGGCGGCUUUGCCGGGGGGGGGCGCUUCGGGUGGAGGCUGUUUGAAUUUCGACGAGGGGGGGACGCGGCGCCUGGCGGGGGUCGUCGACCCCCCCCCCAAAUAAAGGCUGCGUUGGCUGUGAAUGGAUGGUUUUGGGGGGGGGGAUAUUUGGGGGGGGGGUUCCGUGCGGUCUUUGGGGGGGGGUCGUAAAUGGGGGGGGUCGUAAAUGGGGGGGGGGGGGGGUUCGAGAGAUGGGGGCA
rnacentral:lncRNA from 7 species